rnacentral:rRNA from 1 species
AUUGAACGCUGGCGGCAGGCCUAACACAUGCAAGUCGAACGGUAACAGGAAGAAGCUUGCUUCUUUGCUGACGAGUGGCGGACGGGUGAGUAAUGUCUGGGAAACUGCCUGAUGGAGGGGGAUAACUACUGGAAACGGUAGCUAAUACCGCAUAACGUCGCAAGACCAAAGAGGGGGACCUUCGGGCCUCUUGCCAUCGGAUGUGCCCAGAUGGGGUUAGCUAGUAGGUGGGGUAACGGCUCACCUAGGCGACGAUCCCUAGCUGGUCUGAGAGGAUGACCAGCCACACUGGAACUGAGACACGGUCCAGACUCCUACGGGAGGCAGCAGUGGGGAAUAUUGCACAAAGGGCGCAAGCCUGAUGCAGCCAUGCCGCGUGUAUGAAGAAGGCCUUCGGGUUGUAAAGUACUUUCAGCGGGGAGGAAGGGAGUAAAGUUAAUACCUUUGCUCAUUGACGUUACCCGCAGAAGAAGCACCGGCUAACUCCGUG